rnacentral:lncRNA from 1 species
UAAUUCGGAUUAACUUUCUGCACUUAAUUUAUUUUACAGUGUUUGCCUUAUUCACUUAAAUGUGCAUUGAAAGAGCUUGGGGCCAUGUUGUAUCUGUUCUGCUUGUUCGUGAAAUUUUUGUUUUUUAAUUAUUAAGGGAAUGGAAUGAGAGGAAUUGGGCAAAAUUAUGCCCCCGUUGGGUUUUGCAACGAGGUUAUGAGUUAUGACCGUUACAUUGGAUGUAUCCAAUUCUCCGUGUUUCUUGCAAGAGGCUGCUGUUGUUACAUGCCCUUUAGUCUGGUAACUUGAGAUCAAUUGCUAACGAACGUGAUAUAGCCUUUAUAUGAUAACUUGUUAUUGCGAAGAACUUUUCUAGCGAACGCAUCAUUUUAGUUGUUGAAUCAGAGGAUUUCUAAUUCCUUUGAUGUACAUUGAUGUCAUACAGCCCCUCGGUGCAGCAAAUGCCAAAUAUGCCUCAACAGUGGGAGGCCAGAGUAUGUUUAUAUUUCC